UACAGAGGGGGCAAGCGUUAUUCGGAAUUAUCGGGCGUAAAGGGCGCGUAGGCGGCUUUGCAAGUGACGGGUGAAAGCCCUCGGCUUAACCGAGGAACUGCCUGUCAGACUGUAAGGCUUGAGACCGGGAGAGGUGAGUGGAAUUCCCAGUGUAGCGGUGAAAUGCGUAGAUAUUGGGAGGAACACCAGUGGCGAAGGCGGCUCACUGGACCGGAACUGACGCUGAGGCGCGAAAGCGUGGGGAGCAAACAGG
rnacentral:rRNA from 1 species